GACUAGCGGGAGGGGGCCGGGCUAGCGGGCUACUGGGCUGCGGAGACCAGAGCCCGGCUCCACUGAAGAAACCCGCCGGCUGCUGGGGCAGGGCGGCGAAAGGUCAGUCGGCCGAGAGGAGUCCGUGGAGCCACCGUUUCAUAGCCUCAGGGAAAGGAUCGGGCGUGCUCACGAGCCCUCUAACCCAUGGCUUAAACACCCGCUUCCUAAGCCUGGGUUCUUAUGCCUUUGUUUGAAAAACAUGGUUCCCUGUGAAAUUUUACAUGUAGAAGAAAGCUUCACACUACGAGAGCUCUCAGGAUAUAAUUAUUUCAGACAGAUACUGGGAACAUAAGAUGGCUUAUCAAUCUAAGAUGGCCUUCCUGUCCUUCGGAUUGAACUGAAACCAUCCCUGAUUCCAGGGAUAGGUAGAUGAUCCAGGUUUGGACAAUCAAAAUAUUGAACCACCCUGGACCUACAAGUGUUUCUGGGAUGGGAACAUGCAAACGUUGGUCCAAAUUGUUGUUCUAGGCAGCCCAGUACAUUUCUCCAAUGCCUGAUGGAAUGAUAGGGUAUGCAUAAAUGUUCAUGUGGGCUCUGGAGUAUACCAGGAACUGAAGUAAGGUACAUGGACGUCUUGAAUAUUGUAACUGAGAUGGGCAAGCCUACACCUUUGCAAAUAAAGGAGGAUUGGGAAAGAUUAAGCCUCUCAAGCACUGUGAAAAAUCACUUUCUCUUGUUGUAUUCUUGGAGCCCCUGCUAAUUCAUUAUUGAAAAAUACCUGCUGCCUGCAUUUGGCCUUAUGUUGUCAUUUACUUGGUACUUCCUAAGCGUGGCUACUCCAAUGAAGCUUUAGUAUAUGUACUGAAAGAAGAUCCUCUCAUACUGCCACAGCCAAGAGAUAAGGUUGUAAAUCUUUAUUGGGAGAAGCCGUCAAGGACAGUUCUGUGAAAUGAAAGGAUCUCUGGAUCACCACAAAGUCUGGCUCAGUGACUAUGGCUUUGCAAACACUAAACAUUCCUGUCUCAAGUCCUGUAGAUGGCUUGAAAUAGUAUACAUAAGCAUGCCUUAUAAACAUCUUCAGUCUUUAUCAACUCUUUGGAGAUUCAGCCAUUCUUUUUUGUACUUUAGGGAAUUAAAUCAUUUUAUAAUGUAUAAAUCUGAGCAUGGCCGAUGGCAGAAGAAAUUUUGUCAUACGUUUUUAAAGAAAUAAAAAUGUAUUAUGUUUUAAAAUUCCUUUAACUGUUUUUCUUACAAAAUUCCCAACAACUUAGUUACCAAGUAAACUAUCUCAGAUAUGAUUUUUCAGUCCUUGCUAAUCUAUUUAUAAAAUCUUUUGCUAUUUUAAAAAAAAAAAAAAAAAA
rnacentral:lncRNA from 1 species